GUUCUUGGCUCAACCAGAUUUUUUAGGUUUAUAAAGGGGCAAGCUAUGUAAUUAUUAGAUUUUAAUGGGGGCAUUUUUGUCAAAAAGAGAGCUUUCCGAAAAAGCUGAAACAGCUUCCUCCCAAAAGCUCCAAAUUGGAGCUUCUGCCAAAAAGCUGUUUUCAGCUUCCCGCAAAAGCUGAAACAGCUUCUUGGAAAUUUUACCAAACACACUUUUUUCCCCAAAAGUACUUUUGGAGGGCCAGAAAGUGCUUUUUGGCCCUCCAAAAGCUCCCCCAAACAGGGCC
rnacentral:lncRNA from 1 species